AGCGAACGCUGGCGGCAGGCUUAACACAUGCAAGUCGAGCGGGCACACACGGGUGUCAGCGGCGGACGGGUGGGUAGUGCGGGGGAACGUGGGCACAGGUUCGGAAUUACUUAGGGGAAGUUGAGAUAGUAGCGGAUAUGACCCUUUGGGGAAAGGCUUGCUUCGGGAGGAACGGCCGGCGUCUGGUUAGCUAGUUGGUGAGGUAAGGGGGCACCAAGGCGACGAUCAGUAGCUGGGCUGUGAGGAUAAGCCGCCACACUGGGACUGAGACACGGCCCAGACUCCUACGGGAUGCAGGAGUGGGGAAUAUUGGCCAAUGGGCGCAAGCCUGAUCCAGCCAUGCCGCUUGAGUGAUCAAGGCCUUAGGGUUGUAAAGCUCUUUUAUCCGCGACGAUACUGACGGUACCGGAAGAAUAAGCCCCGGCUAACUUCGUG
rnacentral:rRNA from 1 species